rnacentral:rRNA from 1 species
GUGUCAGCAGCCGCGGUAAUACGUAGGGUGCAAGCGUUAAUCGGAAUUACUGGGCGUAAAGCGUGCGCAGGCGGUUUGCUAAGACCGAUGUGAAAUCCCCGGGCUCAACCUGGGAACUGCAUUGGUGACUGGCAGGCUAGAGUAUGGCAGAGGGGGGUAGAAUUCCACGUGUAGCAGUGAAAUGCGUAGAGAUGUGGAGGAAUACCGAUGGCGAAGGCAGCCCCCUGGGCCAAUACUGACGCUCAUGCACGAAAGCGUGGGGAGCAAACAGGAUUAGAAACCCCUGUAGUCC